rnacentral:lncRNA from 1 species
UCUACCACUAAUGACAAAACGUUUGGGCCGUCAGACUCUUCUUUAUUCUCCCAAGCGAGAGCCCCACCACCAGGCCCAAAGUGGUGAUAAUGAGUAUGUACAGAUGAGAAUAUGAAGCGUGU